rnacentral:rRNA from 1 species
AUUGAACGCUGGCGGCAGGCCUAACACAUGCAAGUCGAACGAGUGGCGGACGGGAGAGUAAUGUCUGGGAAACUGCCUGCUGGAGGGGGAUAACGAGUGGAAACGGUGGCAAAUCCCGCAAACCAUCGUAUGUGCCCAGUGGGGAUGAGCUAGUGGGUGGGGUAAAGGCUCACCGAGGCGACGCUCCCUAGCUGGUCUGAGAGGAUGACCAGCCACACUGGAACUGUGACACGGUCCAGACUCCUACGGGAGGCAGCAGUGGGGAAUAUUGCACAAUGGGCGCAAGCCUGAUGCAGCCAUGCCGCGUGUAUGAAGAAGGCCUUCGGGUUGUAAAGUACUGUCAGCGGGGAGGCGUUACCCGCAGAAGAAGCACCGGCUAACUCCGUGCCAGCAGCCGCGGUAAUAC